GAUGAACGCUGGCGGCGUGCCUAAUACAUGCAAGUCGAGCGAACGGACGAGAAGCUUGCUUCUCUGAUGUUAGCGGCGGACGGGUGAGUAACACGUGGAUAACCUACCUAUAAGACUGGGAUAACUUCGGGAAACCGGAGCUAAUACCGGAUAAUAUUUUGAACCGCAUGGUUCAAAAGUGAAAGACGGUCUUGCUGUCACUUAUAGAUGGAUCCGCGCUGCAUUAGCUAGUUGGUAAGGUAACGGCUUACCAAGGCAACGAUGCAUAGCCGACCUGAGAGGGUGAUCGGCCACACUGGAACUGAGACACGGUCCAGACUCCUACGGGAGGCAGCAGUAGGGAAUCUUCCGCAAUGGGCGAAAGCCUGACGGAGCAACGCCGCGUGAGUGAUGAAGGUCUUCGGAUCGUAAAACUCUGUUAUUAGGGAAGAACAUAUGUGUAAGUAACUGUGCACAUCUUGACGGUACCUAAUCAGAAAGCCACGGCUAACUACGUGCCAGCAGCCGCGGUAAUACGUAGGCGGCAAGCGUUAUCCGGAAUUAUUGGGCGUAAAGCGCGCGUAGGCGGUUUUUUAAGUCUGAUGUGAAAGCCCACGGCUCAACCGUGGAGGGUCAUUGGAAACUGGAAAACUUGAGUGCAGAAGAGGAAAGUGGAAUUCCAUGUGUAGCGGUGAAAUGCGCAGAGAUAUGGAGGAACACCAGUGGCGAAGGCGACUUUCUGGUCUGUAACUGACGCUGAUGUGCGAAAGCGUGGGGAUCAAACAGGAUUAGAUACCCUGGUAGUCCACGCCGUAAACGAUGAGUGCUAAGUGUUAGGGGGUUUCCGCCCCUUAGUGCUGCAGCUAACGCAUUAAGCACUCCGCCUGGGGAGUACGACCGCAAGGUUGAAACUCAAAGGAAUUGACGGGGACCCGCACAAGCGGUGGAGCAUGUGGUUUAAUUCGAAGCAACGCGAAGAACCUUACCAAAUCUUGACAUCCUUUGACAACUCUAGAGAUAGAGCCUUCCCCUUCGGGGGACAAAGUGACAGGUGGUGCAUGGUUGUCGUCAGCUCGUGUCGUGAGAUGUUGGGUUAAGUCCCGCAACGAGCGCAACCCUUAAGCUUAGUUGCCAUCAUUAAGUUGGGCACUCUAAGUUGACUGCCGGUGACAAACCGGAGGAAGGUGGGGAUGACGUCAAAUCAUCAUGCCCCUUAUGAUUUGGGCUACACACGUGCUACAAUGGACAAUACAAAGGGCAGCGAAACCGCGAGGUCAAGCAAAUCCCAUAAAGUUGUUCUCAGUUCGGAUUGUAGUCUGCAACUCGACUACAUGAAGCUGGAAUCGCUAGUAAUCGUAGAUCAGCAUGCUACGGUGAAUACGUUCCCGGGUCU
rnacentral:rRNA from 1 species